UAUAGGUGCACAUGUGGAAAUUGUGCCACAAUGCAGUCAGAGCCUGAGAACGUAUGCUGUCAGGAGGUGCCUCAGGUUACAAGACGGCAGGAACAGCUGGAUGAAAGGCCUCCCUGUAUGAUAGACCAUCCAGGUGUAGAACCGGUUUGUCUAAAUGUGUUCUCGCUGCAGAACGCAUUCAACAUUUACAGAGCUGACGACGGUCCUUUGCGACUACGGGGGAUAGAGCAUCGUUACAGGUAUUUAGCCUAUAGAAAUUUUGUGAGCUGGUGCUGGUGCUGUUAUCCCAUCAUGAGUUGUUCUUCGUAUGCACCGGAAGUUUCCUGACGCCCAUGGAAGAUACGGAGGCUUCAAACCACCCUCCCUUGA